GACGAACGCUGGCGGCGUGCCCAAUACAUGCAAGUCGAGCGGACAGAAGGGAGCUUGCUCCCGGAAGUUAGCGGCGGACGGGUGAGUAACACGUGGGCAACCUACCCUGUAGAUCGGGAUAACAUCGAGAAAUCGGUGCUAAUACCGGAUAAUCAUUUGAAGUGCAUGCUUCGAAUGUAAAAGAUGGCUCCGGCUAUCACUACGGGAUGGGCCCGCGGCGCAUUAGCUAGUUGGUAAGGUAAUGGCUUACCAAGGCAACGAUGCGUAGCCGACCUGAGAGGGUGAUCGGCCACACUGGGACUGAGACACGGCCCAGACUCCUACGGGAGGCAGCAGUAGGGAAUCUUCCGCAAUGGACGAAAGUCUGACGGAGCAACGCGGCGUGAGUGAUGAAGGUUUUCGGAUCGUAAAGCUCUGUUGUUAGGGAAGAACAAGUGCCGUUUGAAUAAGGCGGCACCUUGACGGUACCUAACCAGAAAGCCACGGCUAACUACGUGCCAGCAGCCGCCGUAACAC
rnacentral:rRNA from 1 species